rnacentral:rRNA from 1 species
UACGUAGGGUGCGAGCGUUGUCCGGAAUUAUUGGGCGUAAAGAGCUCGUAGGCGGUCUGUCGCGUCGGUCGUGAAAACUUGGGGCUUAACCCUGAGCUUGCGGUCGAUACGGGCAUGACUGGAGUUCGGUAGGGGAGACUGGAAUUCCUGGUGUAGCGGUGAAAUGCGCAGAUAUCGGGAGGAACACCUGUGGCGAAAGCGGCGCACUGGACCACAACUGACGCUGAGGCGCGAAAGCUAGGGGAGCAAACAGG